AGUGAACGCUGGCGGUAGGCCUAACACAUGCAAGUCGAACGGCAGCACAGUAAGAGCUUGCUCUUACGGGUGGCGAGUGGCGGACGGGUGAGGAAUACAUCGGAAUCUACUUUUUCGUGGGGGAUAACGUAGGGAAACUUACGCUAAUACCGCAUACGACCUACGGGUGAAAGCAGGGGAUCUUCGGACCUUGCGCGAUUGAAUGAGCCGAUGUCGGAUUAGCUAGUUGGCGGGGUAAAGGCCCACCAAGGCGACGAUCCGUAGCUGGUCUGUGAGGAUGAUCAGCCACACUGGAACUGAGACACGGUCCAGACUCCUACGGGAGGCAGCAGUGGGGAAUAUUGGACAAAGGACGCAAGCCUGAUCCAGCCAUACCGCGUGGGUGAAGAAGGCCUUCGGGUUGUAAAGCCCUUUUGUUGGGAAAGAAAAGCAGCAGGUUAAUACCCCGCUGUUCUGACGGUACCCAAAGAAUAAGCACCGGCUAACUUCGUG
rnacentral:rRNA from 1 species